ACGGGAGGCAGCAGUGGGGAACAUCGCACAAUGGGGGAAACCCUGAUGCAGCGACGUCGCGUGAGUGAAGAAGUUAUUCGUAAUGUAAAGCUCUAUCAGCAGGGAAGAAAAUGACGGUACCUGACUAAGAAGCCCCGGCUAACUACGUGCCAGCAGCCGCGGUAAUACGUAGGGGGCAAGCGUUAUCCGGAUUUACUGGGUGUAAAGGGAGCGUAGACGGUCUGGCAAGUCUGAUGUGAAAGGCAGGGGCUCAACUCCUGGACUGCAUUGGAAACUGUCAGUCUUGAGUGCCGGAGAGGUAAGCGGAAUUCCUAGUGUAGCGGUGAAAUGCGUAGAUAUUAGGAGGAACACCAGUGGCGAAGGCGGCUUACUGGACGGUAACUGACGUUGAGGCUCGAAAGCGUGGGGAGCGAACAGGAUUAGAUACCCUGGUA
rnacentral:rRNA from 1 species